GACGAACCGUGCGAACGUUAUUCGGAAUCACUGGGCUUAAAGCGCGUGUAGGCGGAUGAGCACGUCUGUCGCUGAAAUCCCCCGGCUCAACCGGGGAACGGGCGCGGAUACGGCUGGUCUGGAGGGGCGUAGGGGGACCUGGAACUUCCGGUGGAGCGGUGAAAUGCGUUGAGAUCGGAAGGAACGCCCGUGGCGAAAGCGAGGUCCUGGACGCCUACUGACGCUGAGACGCGAAAGCCAGGGGAGCGAACGGG
rnacentral:rRNA from 1 species